CAACACACACAUCCCCUUUUUUAUUAUUAUUUUCUUUUCUUUUCUUUUUUUUUUUUUUACAUUCACAUAUUACAAAUUUAAAAUAAAUAAACAAAAAUUACAUUAAAACUUUAAAAUUUACAAAAUGGUCCCUCAAAACUCCCGAAAUUGCAGGGAAGGAGUUCUGCACCCGCAUGAACAGUUCUGGCGCGUCUUCCCACGCGCCCCCGCCGCUGGCGGCGCAUGGUUUCACUCGCCGGACAGAAAUUCAGGCGGCGUGAGGGGGCUGCAAUGGCUUCCUCCCCUCUUCAAUCUCUUGUUGUCCGUCACCUGCAAAUCCAAAAAAAAACACAGCAAGGGCAGUCGAUUUUAAGCUUUUUUUUUUUAGUUUUUUAAAUCUGUUUUUUGUUCUUUCUUUUCAGAUCUGCAGUUCAUCACUUCUUCUUCUUCGGAUCUGCUUCUCCUUCUCUUCGUCUCGGUUUCGGGGAGCUGUAGGUGGUGGUCAGAUCGGUGGGCGUCCUGCUGGAGGCGGGGAGCUGGAUCUGCUGGCGUUCGGCGAGAGGGGAAAGCGAAGGGGGACGGCGCUGUGGUUUCU
rnacentral:lncRNA from 1 species